AGAACGAACGCUGGCGGCAUGCCUAAUACAUGCAAGUCGAACGAAGGCUUCGGCCUUAGUGGCGCACGGGUGCGUAACGCGUGGGAAUCUGCCCCUUGGUUCGGAAUAACAGUUGGAAACGACUGCUAAUACCGGAUGAUGACGAAAGUCCAAAGAUUUAUCGCCAAGGGAUGAGCCCGCGUAGGAUUAGCUAGUUGGUGAGGUAAAGGCUCACCAAGGCGACGAUCCUUAGCUGGUCUGAGAGGAUGAUCAGCCACACUGGGACUGAGACACGGCCCAGACUCCUACGGGAGGCAGCAGUAGGAAUAUGGACAAGUGGGCGAAAGCCUGAUCCAGCAAUGCCGCGUGAGUGAUGAAGGCCGUUAGGGUUGUAAAGGUCUCGUUUACCGAGAUGAUAAUGACUAGUAUCGGAAGAACGUAACGCCCCGGACUAACCUCCGACCGCCAGCCAACGCCCGACGGUUAAU
rnacentral:rRNA from 1 species